rnacentral:rRNA from 1 species
GACGUAGGGGGCCAGCGUUGUUCGGAAUUACUGGGUGUAAAGGGUUCGUAGGCGGUGUGGCAAGUCGGGAGUGAAAUCUCUGGGCUCAACUCAGAGACUGCUUCCGAAACUGCUGUGCUGGAGUGUGGGAGAGGCGCGUGGAAUUGCAGGUGUAGCGGUGAAAUGCGCAGAUAUCAGGAGGAACACCAGUGGCGAAGGCGGCUCACUGGCCCGUAACUGACGCUGAGGCACGAAAGCGUGGGGAGCAAACAGG